UUGUGGUAACAUCUCGGCCUAUGAUACUUAACUCCAAGUAAGUAAUGUCGGGAUUUAAGAUCACUGGUAUUUAUCCCUUUAACAGGGAUAUAUUCUCAGAACAAGACUUCCUCCCCAGUUACGUUACCGAUCGAAAGAACUCAAAUGAAACGGAAGUGGGCACACCUGACAUCCUAGGAGGGAAAAUGAACUAAUAUUUACAGGAAACGAAGAUCGUGGGGUAGAUAAUUUAGAAAACCUACAGACAAGCAGCCAUUCAAAAGACACCAAAUAAUCAAUUUGUCAACAUCCAAGAAAAUUAAGAUCCGAAUGAAACCUUGCAGGUCACUCGGAUUUAGGUACUAUAGGUAAAAAAAUGAGAGUAGAAAAUGACACCACCCGGAGGAUUUAAAGCAGGGCUGUCUGUAGAAACGGUUUGUCCUUUCCCAAAAGUUGCGAACAGGACCAACCGCAUUCAACGUAAAAAAAAACGCAAAUCAUCAAUACUAACAGAUAUUCCAGUCAAGGAUGAAAUUUUGCAGGACGAAAAGUCUAGACAGAA
rnacentral:lncRNA from 1 species